GGGCGGUUAGCUCAGUUGGUUAGAGCACCUGCUCGACACGCAGGGGGUCGAUUGUUCAAGUCAAUUAUCGCCCA
rnacentral:tRNA from 1 species